rnacentral:rRNA from 1 species
UGAAAUCUGGCCCUAGGUCCGAGUUGUAAUUUGCAGAGGAUGUUUCUGGUGCGGCGCCUUCCGAGUUCCUUGGAACAGGACGCCAUAGAGGGUGAGAGCCCCGUACGGUUGCGCGCUAAGCCUAUGUGAAACUCCUUCGACGAGUCGAGUAGUUUGGGAAUGCUGCUCAAAAUGGGAGGUAUAUGUCUUCUAAAGCUAAAUACCGGCCAGAGACCGAUAGCGCACAAGUAGAGUGAUCGAAAGAUGAAAAGCACUUUGAAAAGAGGGUUAAACAGUACGUGAAAUUGUUGAAAGGGAAGCACUUAUGACCAGACUUGGGCUCGGUUAAUCAUCUAGCGUUCUCGCUGGUGCACUUUGCCGGCCCAGGCCAGCAUCAGUUUGCUUCGGGGGAUAAAGGCUUCGGGAAUGUGGCUCCCUCGGGAGUGUUAUAGCCCGUUGUGUAAUACCCUGGAGCGGACUGAGGUACGCGUUCGCAAGGAU